UGCAAGUCGAACGAUUCUUUGAUUAUAGCAAUAUUAUUAAAGAGGAGUAGGCGAACGGGUGAGUAACACGUAGAUAAUCUGCCUUCAGACGGGGACAACUCAGGGAAACUUGUGCUAAUACCCGAUGAGACCACAAGAAGGGAUUUUUGUGGCCAAAGGCGGGCAGCAAUGCUCGUGCUGAAAGAUGAGUCUGCGUCCUAUCAGCUAGUUGGUGGGGUAAAUGCCUACCAAGGCUAAGACGGGUAGCCGGCCCGAGAGGGUGAACGGCCACACUGGGACUGAGACACGGCCCAGACUCCUACGGGAGGCAGCAGUGAGGAAUUUUCCGCAAUGGGCGCAAGCCUGACGGAGCGACGCCGCGUGAGGGAUGAACCAGCUUUCGGGUUGUAAACCUCUUUUAUUAAGGAAAAAGAUCUAUAUGCUAAUAUCAUGUAGAUUUGAUGGUACUUAUUGAAUAAGCCCCGGCUAACUACGUGCCAGCCGCAGC
rnacentral:rRNA from 1 species